GGGGGGUGUAGCUCAGUGGUAGAGCGCGUGCU
rnacentral:piRNA from 3 species